UCGUGUAACUUUUGUUCAACCGUUGCAGGAUGUUAAAUGUCCAGGCUGCUUCCAAAUGUAAGUUACUGAAAAUUAGCGAUUAAAUUCCUCGUGUUAUAAGUUUCCAUGUAGUAGUAAGGUACCAAUAAUCGAUCCAACUUUUACAGAACAACAAUUUUCAGCCACUCACAAACCGUGGUUACAUGCGCCAACUGCCAGCAAGUGCUCUGCCAGCCAACUGGUGGACGCGCAAAACUUACUGAGGGAUGCUCUUUUAGGGUUAAAGAGAGGGCUAUGAUGGUCGUGGGUUGAUAUUUGCUAGAGGUUCUGGUUAAGCUAUGAUUUCGUGGUUCUGGUCGUGGGUUAUUUUUGUUUUUCCUUUCCUUCACUGAGCCGGGUAGGGGUAAGGCCCGUCUACAUAUUACCCUCCCCAGACCCCACUUUGUGGGACUACACUGGGUAGUUGUUGUUGUUGUUCUUGUUCUGGUUAAGCUAUGACAUUAUAAACUAGGUUUUUGAAGAAUGAGUUGGUUAAGAGAGCUUUUCCUUUGCUCAGUAGUACUUUUUUGUUUUGAGUUCUGACUUUGAUGAAUACUUUGGCUAUCGUAUUACUCAUACCACAUUUUGAAGUAGUUAAACUUCUUCCUUGAUCUUGAUUUUAUCCUUUUUUUUAAAGAAGAUACUCCAUGUUUGUGCAUUUAUGUUUUUGGUAUUCAUGUUUAAUGCUAGAAAUGUGUCCUGUUUUUGGAAUUGAAGCGCAUAGCUGUUCCUUUGGAUGAAGUUAAGUCGAAUAACUUGCUUUGAGUCUCUUUUGCAAAGAUAAACACGACGUUUAUACUGUACUUUUGACUGGUGCGAUGUGCCAUGAAAACUGCUUGAAUCUGUCAGGAGCUUGACUUACUCAACCCAAGCCUCAGAAUGUUUCUAGCUGUGUUUGAUAAACCUUUUUGGGAUGUUAUAUGUGUACUAAUGAAGAAGUAUGUACAGGAGAUUAAAGAAUUCUUGUGUUAUUGAUUUGUCUAAACUUUGUUAAGUUACUGGUUUUAACCUGGACAGUUGUUCAUAAUUCCAGGAAUAUUUGUAAGCGCCACUAAUUUAUACCAUAAUAACACGGUAAGGCAGCAUGAAAACACUAUUUAAAGAGUAUUUUAACUCAAGAUUAACAUACAUUACGUAUACAAUGAAACUUCAAAUCCAACAAUAAAAGAAAAGACCUGGAAGAAAGGCAUCACCUUCCCUUUGCCUUUAUGACUUGCCUGUGAGUUCUCUGCACAUCAGAUGCUGUGAAGGCUAAUAGUCUACACAGAAAGGUUUGAAGUCAUCUUCACUAUCAUCAUUGGUUUUUGUCAAAUCCUUCUCUCUUCUUUCUCCUCAUCUUUUUGUUCUUCUUUCUCUUCUUUUUGGGUUUCUCUUCAGUCUGAGAGUCCA
rnacentral:lncRNA from 1 species